rnacentral:rRNA from 1 species
UAACCCCGAGAAAUUGGGGCUAAUAGGCGAUAGGUGUGAUGUCCUGGAAUGGUAUCACGCCCAAAGGUAUCCCAUACAUGUUUGGUAUACGCCUAAGGAUGGGGCUGCGGCCGAUCAGGCAGUUGGUGAGGUAAUGGCUCACCAAACCUUUGACCGGUACGGGCCAUGAGAGUGGUAGCCCGGAGAUGGACACUGAGACAAGGGUCCAGGCCCUACGGGGCGCAGCAGGCGCGAAACCUCCUCAAUGCACUAACGUGCGAAGGGGUUACCUCGAGUGCCACCUGAAGAAGGUGGCUUUUCCUUGGUCUAAAAAGCCUCGGGAAUAAGAGGGGGGCAAGACUGGUGUCAGCCGCCGCGGUAACACCAGCCCCUCGAGUGGUGGGGAUGAUUAUUUGGCCUAAAGCGUCCGUAGCCGGCCGGGUAAGUCUCCCGUUAAAUCCAGCGUCUCAAGCGUUGGACUGCGGGAGAUACUGCCUGGCUAGAGAGUGGGAGAGGUCAGCGGUAUUCUGGGGGUAGGGGCGAAAUCCUUUGAUCCCCGGAGGACCACCAGUGGCGAAGGCUGCUGACUAGAACACGUCUGACGGUCAGGGACGAAAGCUGGGGUAGCGAACCGGAUUAGAUACCCGGGUAGUCCCAGCCGUAAACGAUGCAUGCUAGGUGUUGGGUUGGCCACGAGCCACCCCAGUGCCGCAGGGAAGCCGUUAAGCAUGCCGCCUGGGAAGUACGAUCGCAAGGUUGAAACUUAAAGGAAUUGGCGGGGGAGCACCACCAGGCGUGAAGCCUGCGGUUUAAUUGGAGUCAACGCCGGG